CGGGUGAGUAACACGUAUCCAACCUGCCGUCUACUCUUGGACAGCCUUCUGAAAGGAAGAUUAAUACAAGAUGGCAUCAUGAGUCCACAUGUUCACAUGAUUAAAGGUAUUCCGGUAGACGAUGGGGAUGCGUUCCAUUAGAUAGUAGGCGGGGUGACGGCCCACCUAGUCUUCGAUGGAUAGGGGUUCUGAGAGGAAGGUCCCCCACAUUGGAACUGAGACACGGUCCAA
rnacentral:rRNA from 1 species